rnacentral:rRNA from 1 species
GACGAACGCUGGCGGCGUGCUUAACACAUGCAAGUCGAGCGGUAAGGCCCUUUCGGGGUACGACGAGCGGCGAACGGGUAGGAGUAACAACGUGGGUGGACCUCGCCCUCCAGCUCUGGGAGUAAGCCUGGGAAACGUAGGGUCGUAAUACUGGAUAUGACUCCACGGUGCAUGUCGUGGGGUGGAAAGACCUUGUGCGGCUGAGGAUGGGCCC